ACGCUCGACACCUACGGGAAGCAGCAGUGGGGAAUAUUGCACAAUGGAGGAAACUCUGAUGCAGCGAUGCCGCGUGAGGGAAGAAGGUUUUCGGAUUGUAAACCUCUGUCUUUGGGGACGAUAAUGACGGUACCCAAGGAGGAAGCUCCGGCUAACUACGUGCCAGCAGCCGCGGUAAUCUGAGGCGGGCUGGCAAGGC
rnacentral:rRNA from 1 species